UGCCGCUUUUGACCACUCGGCCACUCUCCCCUUCCCGGGCCGAGGCCCCCCUCAAUGGGUUCUAAUUCUAAGAAGGGGGCGGCGCCCUGAAUCAAUCAAAAAGCUUAUUGAUUUAAUUGAAGGGAACUAAGACGAUUAGCUUAGCUAGUGUUCUGANCACUCGGCCACUCUCCCCUUCCCGGGCCGAGGCCCCCCUCAAUGGGUUCUAAUUCUAAGAAGGGGGGCGGCGCCCUGAAUCAAUCAAAAAGCUUAUUGAUUUAAUUGAAGGGAACUAAGACGAUUAGCUUAGCUAGCGUUCCGGGAGAAUCUAGUCAUUUAAGAACUUCGUUGCCACUAGUAAAUUAGACCAUCCCCCCCAAAAAGAACUCGGAGCCUAAAGAGAAGAGAGUUCAGUCUACAAGAAGCUGGCAGAGCUUUAGCCAUUGGGCCACAUCCAUCUAUCCUAAACAGUAAGCCCUUUCUUGUUCGUUCUUCGAAUGACGCUAGUGGAGACUAAUUCCUUCCGGCUAAUGAAGAUACUACUCCAGUCUUUCCAGUGGAUCCUUCCCUAAGAAUGGAACGAACCAAGUUAACCUAUACGAGAGUGAGGAAGAAAAACCAAUAAUCAACUUACCGCUUUUGAUGUCCCACGAUUC
rnacentral:lncRNA from 1 species